UAAUAGUGUAUAUUAAAGUUGUUGCAGUUAAAAAGCUCGUAGUUGAAUGUUGGUGUCGAACGAGCGGUCAGCUUCGGCUGUACUGCUCUCUCGACUCCUUCCUUCUGUGGACUACGUCGCACUUUACUGUGUGGCGCUAGGACGCAGAUCGUUUACUGUGAAAAAAUUAGAGUGUUCAAAGCAGGCCGUACGCUUGAAUACAUUAGCAUGGAAUAAUGGAAUAGGACGUCGGGCCUAUUUUGUUGGUUCUAGGACCGUCGUAAUGAUUAAUAGGGACAGUUGGGGCCGUUUAUAUUCCGUAGUCAGAGGUGAAAUUCUUGGAUUUACGGAAGAUAAACUACUGCGAAAGCAUUCUGCAAGGAUGUUUUCGUUAA
rnacentral:rRNA from 1 species